rnacentral:rRNA from 1 species
UACCCGCUGAACUUAAGCAUAUCAAUAAGCGGAGGAAAAGAAAGUAAAUAGGAUGCCCUUAGUAACGGCGAGCGAACCGGGCAAAGCCCAACUUGAAAAUCUCCAGCCUCCGGCUGGCGAAUUGUAGUGUAGAGAACCGCUCUCUGCGCCAGUCCGGCCCCAAGUCCCCUGGAAAGGGGCGUCAGAGAGGGUGAGAACCCCGUUGGGACCGGUGCCUGGUGCUCCACGAGACGCUUUCGCAGAGUCGGGUUGUUUGGGAAUGCAGCCCAAAGCAGGUGGUAAAUCCCAUCUAAGGCUAAAUACAGACGGGAGACCGAUAGCGAACAAGUACCGCGAGGGAAAGAUGAAAAGAACUUUGAAAAGAGAGUUAAAAAGUGCUUGAAAUUGUUGAGAGGGAAGUGAUUGGAUCCUCCGGGUGCGCCCAGGCACACGCCUUCCUAACGGUUGGCUGAAUGCGCUGGGUGCUGGUCAGCAUGGGUUGGCCGGGCGGGACAACCCCGGGGAUUGCUACCCCGGCUAUGUAUCCUGGCGGAGUGAGGAAAGAAGGGCGCUCC